AUUGAACGCUGGCGGCAGGCCUAACACAUGCAAGUCGAGCGGAGCGGCGGACGGGUGAGUAAUGCCUAGGAAUCUGCCUGGUAGUGGGGGCUAACGUCCGGAAACGGGCGCUAAUCCCGCAUACUUUCAGAUGAGCCUAGGUCGGAUUAGCUAGUUGGUGGGUUAAAGGCCUGACAGGGCGACGAUCCGUAACUGGUCUGAGAGGAUGAUCAGUCAAACGGGAACUGAGACACGGGCCAGACUCCGACGGGAGGCAGCAGUGGGGAAGAUUGGGCAAUGGGCGAAAGCCUGAACCAGCCAUGCCGCGUGUGUGAAGAAGGGCUUCGGAUUGUAAAGCACUUUAAGUUGGGAGGCGUUACCAACAGAAUAAGCACCGGCUAACUUCGUGCCAGCCGCCGCGGUAAUUC
rnacentral:rRNA from 1 species